AAAGAAAAAAAAAGAAAGUCGAUUUAGGAGAUUUUCAAAAGGUGAAAUUUAAAGUUGGCAAAAAAUUGAACAAAGGUAUUGAAACUAAACCUUCAAUACAAUCUAGGAAGAUAAUUAUAAGGGCUCAAUAUAAGAAUACAGACAUUAAUAAUCUAAUAAUGGGACUAUAUCAUAAAGAUCCUAUUAUACAUUAUAAAUCAUUGAGUCAGAUUAAACAUAUGGUGAAGAAUAAAACUCUUAAUCUUGACAGAACUAAUGAAAUAAUUGCUGGAUUAACCAAAGCCAUAAUUCAUGAUGACCUCAAUGUUUUAAACAAAAACAGAGAGGUAUUGCAACUCAUAUAUGUAAAUUCUGAUAUGAGAUUAAAGGAAAUUUUAUUAGAUGAAUGUAAUAUUAAUACUACAAUCUUGCAUUUGGUUAAUGC